AAUAGAUACCCCGGUAGUCCACGCCGUAAACGAUGUCUACUAGCCGUUGGGAGACUUGCUUUCUCGGUGGCGCAGCUAACGCAAUAAGUAGACCGCCUGGGGAGUACGGCCGCAAGGUUAAAACUCAAAUGAAUUGACGGGGGCCCGCACAAGCGGUGGAGCAUGUGGUUUAAUUCGAUGCAACGCGAAGAACCUUACCAGGUCUUGACAUCCGGCGAACUUUCCAGAGAUGGAUUGGUGCCUUCGGGAGCGCCGAGACAGGUGCUGCAUGGCUGUCGUCAGCUCGUGUCGUGAGAUGUUGGGUUAAGUCCCGUAACGAGCGCAACCCUUGUCCCUAGUUGCCAGCACUUCGGGUGGAACUCUAGGGAGACUGCCGGUGACAAACCGGAGGAAGGUGGGGACGACGUCAAGGUCAUCAUGGCCCUUACGACCUGGGCUACACACGUGCUACAAUGGAACGCACAGAGGGCAGCAAACCCCGGCGAGGGGGAGCGGAAUCCCGGCAAAACGUUUCGUAGUCCGGAUCGGAGUCUGCAACUCGACU
rnacentral:rRNA from 1 species